rnacentral:rRNA from 1 species
UACGUAGGGGGCAAGCGUUAUCCGGAUUUACUGGGUGUAAAGGGAGCGUAGGCGGUGCAGCAAGUCAGAAGUGAAAGCCCGGGGCUCAACCCCGGGACUGCUUUUGAAACUGUUGAACUAGAUUGCAGGGGAGGUAAGUGGAAUUCCUAGUGUAGCGGUGAAAUGCGUAGAUAUUAGGAGGAACACCAGUGGCGAAGGCGGCUUACUGGACUGUAAAUGACGCUGAGGCUCGAAAGCGUGGGGAGCAAACAGG